rnacentral:rRNA from 1 species
AUUGAACGCUGGCGGCAGGCCUAACACAUGCAAGUCGAGCGGAUGAAGGGAGCUUGCUCCUGGAUUCAGCGGCGGACGGGUGAGUAAUGCCUAGGAAUCUGCCUGGUAGUGGGGGAUAACGUCCGGAAACGGGCGCUAAUACCGCAUACGUCCUGAGGGAGAAAGUGGGGGAUCUUCGGACCUCACGCUAUCAGAUGAGCCUAGGUCGGAUUAGCUAGUUGGUGGGGUAAAGGCCUACCAAGGCGACGAUCCGUAACUGGUCUGAGAGGAUGAUCAGUCACACUGGAACUGAGACACGGUCCAGACUCCUACGGGAGGCAGCAGUGGGGAAUAUUGGACAAUGGGCGAAAGCCUGAUACAGCCAUGCCGCGUGUGUGAAGAAGGUCUUCGGAUUGUAGAGCACUUUAAGUUGGGAGGAAGGGCAGUAAGUUAAUACCUUGCUGUUUUGACGUUACCAACAGAAUAAGCACCGGCUAACUUCGUG